AUUGAACGCUGGCGGCAGGCCUAACACAUGCAAGUCGAGCGAGCGGCGGACUGGUGAGUAAUGUAUGGGGACUGCCUGAUAGAGGGGGAUAACUACUGGAAACGGUGGCUAAUACCGCAUACUAUCGGAUAACCCAUAUGGGAUUAGCUAGUAGGUGGGGUAAAGGCUCACCUAGGCGACGAGCUCUAGCUGGUCUGAGAGGAUGAUAGGCCACACUGGGAGUGAGACACGGCCCAGACACCUACGGAGGCAGCAGUGUGGAAUAUUGCGCAAGGGGCUCAAGCCGGAUGCAGCAAUGCGGCGUGUAUUAAUAAGGCCUGAGGGUUGUAAAGUACGUUCAGCGGGGAGGCGUUACCCGCAGAAGAAGCACCGGCUAACUCCGUGCCAGCCGCCGCGGUAAUAC
rnacentral:rRNA from 1 species